rfam:Myotis davidii contig91180, whole genome shotgun sequence.
GGCGGUUCUCGGGUGAUGCACACUGGAAUCAGGCUCUCUCCUCUCUGGUUUUGGGUGUGUUACCUGAAACCUGCA